UACGUAGGCAGCAAGCGUUGUUCGGAGUUUCUGGGCGUAAAGGGUGUGUAGGCGGUUCUUUAAGUUUGGUGUGAAAUCUCCCGGCUUAACCGGGAGGGUGCGCCGAAUACUGAGGGACUAGAGUACGGGAGAGGAAAGUGGAAUUCCUGGUGUAGCGGUGAAAUGCGUAGAUAUCAGGAGGAACACCGGUGGUGUAGACGGCUUUCUGGACCGUAACUGACGCUGAGACACGAAAGCGUGGGUAGCAAACAGG
rnacentral:rRNA from 1 species